UACGUAGGGAGCAAGCGUUGUCCGGAAUCAUUGGGCGUAAAGCGCGCGUAGGUGGCCCGGUAAGUCCGCUCUGAAAGUCACAGGCUCAACCUGUGAAAGCGGGUGGAUACUGCCGGGCUAGAGUCCGGAAGAGGCGAGUGGAAUUCCUGGUGUAGCGGUGGAAUGCGCAGAUAUCAGGAGGAACACCAACGGCGAAGGCAGCUCGCUGGGACGGUACUGACACUGAGAGACGAAAGCUAGGGGAGCAAAUGGG
rnacentral:rRNA from 1 species